rnacentral:rRNA from 1 species
GAUGAACGCUGGCGGCGUGCCUAAUACAUGCAAGUCGAGCGAACAGACGAGGAGCUUGCUCCUCUGACGUUAGCGGCGGACGGGUGAGUAACACGUGGAUAACCUACCUAUAAGACUGGGAUAACUUCGGGAAACCGGAGCUAAUACCGGAUAAUAUAUUGAACCGCAUGGUUCAAUAGUGAAAGACGGUUUUGCUGUCACUUAUAGAUGGAUCCGCGCCGCAUUAGCUAGUUGGUAAGGUAACGGCUUACCAAGGCAACGAUGCGUAGCCGACCUGAGAGGGUGAUCGGCCACACUGGAACUGAGACACGGUCCAGACUCCUACGGGAGGCAGCAGUAGGGAAUCUUCCGCAAUGGGCGAAAGCCUGACGGAGCAACGCCGCGUGAGUGAUGAAGGUCUUCGGAUCGUAAAACCCUGUUAUUAGGGAAGAACAAAUGUGUAAGUAACUAUGCACGUCUUGACGGUACCUAAUCAGAAAGCAACGGCUAACUACGUG